UACGGGUGAGAUAAAUCCUAAGGGGGUACUAGGCUAAAAUGCAAAGGGUCAAAAGAAAGUUGAAAGAGUUGCGGGAGUUAAACUAAAUAUUUCGUUAACUUUCAAACAACAACUUCUCAGCUAUUUUUCUUUUCUUUUAUCUUUUUAUUCUCUUUUUCUUUUUCAAAUCAGAAAGAAUAUGUAAUUACAUCCUUCUUUUCUUUUUCAAUUUUUUUCUUUUUCUCUUUUUAUUCAAUUUUUUUCUUUUUCAAUUUUUUUUCUUUUUUUCUGCCAACUUUUUU
rnacentral:lncRNA from 1 species